UACAGAGGAGCCAAGCGUUGUCCGGAUUGACUGGGCGUAAAGCGCACGCAGGCGGAUGCGCGCGUGGGGUGUGAAAUCUGGCCGCUUAACGGCCAGGCGCCAUCCCAUACGGCGCGUCUGGAGUGAUGCAGAGGUCGAUGGAAUUGCCGGUGUAGUGGUGAAAUGCGUAGAGAUCGGCAGGAACACCCAGGGGGAAACCAGUCGACUGGGCAUCUACUGACGCUGAGGUGCGAGAGCGUGGGGAGCGAACCGU
rnacentral:rRNA from 1 species